GCCCGAGUGGUGGAACGGCAGACACGGCGGACUCAAAAUCCGCUGCCCGCGAGGGCGUGUGGGUUCGAAUCCCACCUCGGGCA
rnacentral:tRNA from 1 species